GGCUGUUCCCUCGAUGAUCCCUUGUUGC
rnacentral:sRNA from 1 species